AACGACAAUGAUUUUAUAGACGGGCACGAAGACAGACCGACAUCACUGAGUGAAAGGAUGAAACGCCCUUGAAUGUGGCAGCGGUGCAGGUAAUGAGUCCCGAAAUUCUCAGAAAAUAGAAAUGGAGGCCGAACCUGCAGAUGUGGAUGGCAGUGAUGUGAAUGAUGGAGCAUCUACACAGAAAAGAUGCUGGAAUCCAGAAAUUUCUUCACCUGGGGCCUACUGGGGAUGGCAGUAAACCAAAAACUAACCAUGCUGUGGGGAUACAAACCUGUAGACCUUUAGCUGAACCACUACAAUUGAU